rnacentral:misc_RNA from 1 species
GAAAUGCGAUAAUUAAUGUGAAUUGCAGAAUUCAGUGAAUCAUCGAGUCUUUGAACGCACAUUCCGCCCCCUGGUAUUCCGGGGGGCAUGCCUGUCCGAGCGUCAUUGCUGCCCUCAAGCACGGCUUGUGUGUUGGGCUUCCGUCCCUGGCAACGGGGACGGGCCCAAAAGGCAGUGGCGGCACCAUGUCUGGUCCUCGAGCGUAUGGGGCUUUGUCACCCGCUCCCGUAGGUCCAGCUGGCAGCUAGCCUCGCAACCAAUCUUUUUAACCAGGUUGACCUCGGAUCAGGUAGGGAUACCCGCUGAACUUAAGC